GUGAGAGACGGCCUUCCCUGCAUGCUGGCUGGCAGUGUCCUGAGAGGCGCCACUUAGGUAAAAAUGCAGCGUACACUUAUCACAUAUCAAUCACAACAGAAUAGUUUAACAAAUGAUGAUACAGAGAAAUAAUAAUGAGGUUGAUUCUUAGCAGUAACAAAUAGCUGGUGUAGAAAGGGUUAAUCUUGAUGGAUAUUUGAUGGUUUAUAUUUUGUUGGUGUGUGUCUAAAGUACUUAUCACAUACCAAACAGAAUAAUUUAAUGGACAAAUGAUGAUGUAGAGAAAUAAUAAUGAGGUUGAUUCUUAGCAGUAACAAA